GACAGAGGGGGCAAGCGUUGCUCGGAAUCACUGGGCGUAAAGGGCGCGUAGGCGGGAUGGCAAGUCGGUCGUGAAAUCCUUCGGCUCAACCGAAGAACGUCGGCCGAUACUGCCGUUCUUGAGGGAUGCAGAGGAGAUUGGAAUUCCCGGUGUAGCGGUGAAAUGCGCAGAUAUCGGGAAGAACACCCGUGGCGAAGGCGGCUCUCUGGGACGGUACUGACGCUGCGACGCGAAAGCGUGGGGAGCGAACAGG
rnacentral:rRNA from 1 species